rnacentral:rRNA from 1 species
UUUAUAUGAGAGUUUGAUCCUGGCUCAGGAUGAACGCUGGCGGCGUGCCUAAUACAUGCAAGUCGAACGAGUUCUCGUUGAUGAUCGGUGCUUGCACCGAGAUUCAACAUGGAACGAGUGGCGGACGGGUGAGUAACACGUGGGUAACCUGCCCUUAAGUGGGGGAUAACAUUUGGAAACAGAUGCUAAUACAGAUAGAUCCAAGAACCGCAUGGUUCUUGGCUGAAAGAUGGCGUAAGCUAUCGCUUUUGGAUGGACCCGCGGCGUAUUAGCUAGUUGGUGAGGUAAUGGCUCACCAAGGCGAUGAUACGUAGCCGAACUGAGAGGUUGAUCGGCCACAUUGGGACUGAGACACGGCCCAAACUCCUACGGGAGGCAGCAGUAGGGAAUCUUCCACAAUGGACGCAAGUCUGAUGGAGCAACGCCGCGUGAGUGAAGAAGGCUUUCGGGUCGUAAAACUCUGUUGUUGGAGAAGAAUGGUCGGCAGAGUAACUGUUGUCGGCGUGACGGUAUCCAACCAGAAAGCCACGGCUAACUACGUGCCAGCAGCCGCGGUAAUACGUAGGUGGCAAGCGUUAUCCGGAUUUAUUGGGCGUAAAGCGAGCGCAGGCGGUUUUUUAAGUCUGAUGUGAAAGCCCUCGGCUUAACCGAGGAAGCGCAUCGGAAACUGGGAAACUUGAGUGCAGAAGAGGACAGUGGAACUCCAUGUGUAGCGGUGAAAUGCGUAGAUAUAUGGAAGAACACCAGUGGCGAAGGCGGCUGUCUGGUCUGUAACUGACGCUGAGGCUCGAAAGCAUGGGUAGCGAACAGGAUUAGAUACCCUGGUAGUCCAUGCCGUAAACGAUGAAUGCUAGGUGUUGGAGGGUUUCCGCCCUUCAGUGCCGCAGCUAACGCAUUAAGCAUUCCGCCUGGGGAGUACGACCGCAAGGUUGAAACUCAAAGGAAUUGACGGGGGCCCGCACAAGCGGUGGAGCAUGUGGUUUAAUUCGAAGCAACGCGAAGAACCUUACCAGGUCUUGACAUCUUUUGAUCACCUGAGAGAUCAGGUUUCCUUCGGGGGCAAAAUGACAGGUGGUGCAUGGUUGUCGUCAGCUCGUGUCGUGAGAUGUUGGGUUAAGUCCCGCAACGAGCGCAACCCUUAUGACUAGUUGCCAGCAUUUAGUUGGGCACUCUAGUAAGACUGCCGGUGACAAACCGGAGGAAGGUGGGGAUGACGUCAAAUCAUCAUGCCCCUUAUGACCUGGGCUACACACGUGCUACAAUGGAUGGUACAACGAGUUGCGAGACCGCGAGGUCAAGCUAAUCUCUUAAAGCCAUUCUCAGUUCGGACUGUAGGCUGCAACUCGCCUACACGAAGUCGGAAUCGCUAGUAAUCGCGGAUCAGCACGCCGCGGUGAAUACGUUCCCGGGCCUUGUACACACCGCCCGUCACACCAUGAGAGUUUGUAACACCCGAAGCCGGUGGCGUAACCCUUUUAGGGAGCGAGCCGUCUAAGGUGGGACAAAUGAUUAGGGUGAAGUCGUAACAAGGUAGCCGUAGGAGAACCUGCGGCUGGAUCACCUCCUUUCUAAGGAA